AUUGAACGCUGGCGGCAGGCUUAACACAUGCAAGUCGAGCGGAGAUGAGGUGCUUGCACCUUAUCUUAGCGGCGGACGGGUGAGUAAUGCUUAGGAAUCUGCCUAUUAGUGGGGGACAACAUUCCGAAAGGAAUGCUAAUACCGCAUACGCCCUACGCGGGAAAGCAGGGGAUCUUCGGACCUUGCGCUAAUAGAUGAGCCGAAGUCGGAUUAGCUAGUUGGUGGGGUAACGGCCUACCAAGGCGACGAUCUGUAGCGGGGCUGAGAGGAUGCACCGCCACACUGGGACUGAGAAACGGCCCAGACUCCUACGGGAGGCAGCAGUGGGGAAUAUUGGACAAUGGGCGGAAGCCUGAUCCAGCCAUGCCGCGUGUGUGAAGAAGGCCUUUUGGUUGUAAAGCACUUUAAGCGAGGAGGAGGCUACCUGGAUUAAUACUCUAGGAUAGUGGACGUUACUCGCAGAAUAAGCACCGGCUAACUCUGUGCCAGCCGCCGCCGUAAGAC
rnacentral:rRNA from 1 species